rnacentral:rRNA from 1 species
GGGCCCGCACAAGCGGUGGAGCAUGUGGUUUAAUUCGAAGAUACGCGCAGAACCUUACCAACACUUGACAUGUUCGUCGCGACUCUAAGAGAUUAGAGUUUUCGGUUCGGCCGGACGAAACACAGGUGCUGCAUGGCUGUCGUCAGCUCGUGUCGUGAGAUGUUGGGUUAAGUCCCGCAACGAGCGCAACCCUCACUUUUAGUUGCCAUCAUUAAGUUGGGCACUCUGAAAGAACUGCCAGUGAUAAGCUGGAGGAAGGUGGGGAUGACGUCAAGUCCUCAUGGCCCUUACGUGUUGGGCUACACACGUGCUACAAUGGUAUCUACAACAGGAAGCAAGACGGCGACGUC